ACUGAUAUAGCCUAGUGGUUAGGGUGUAGAGCUGCAACACAGGCGACCAGAGUUCAAGUCCCUGGUUAGUU